rnacentral:rRNA from 1 species
GAGCUCUCAAUCUGUCAAUCCUUCCAGUGUCCGGGCCUGGUGAGAUUUCCCGUGUUGGGUCAAAUUAAGCCGCAGGCUCCACUCCUGGUGGUGCCCUUCCGUCAAUUCCUUUAAGUUUCAGCUUUGCAACCAUACUUCCCCCGGAACCCACAAGCUUUGGUUUCCCGGAAGCUUCCCGCGGGGCCUUAAUGAUGAACACCCGCAGAUCGCUAGCUGGCAUCGUUUAUGGUCAGAACUAGGGCGGUAUCUGAUCGCCUUCGAACCUCUGACUUUCGUUCUUGAUUAAUGAAAACACUCUUGGCAAAUGCUUUCGCAGUAGUUGUCUCCAGACGGUCCAAGAAUUUCACCUCUGUCGUCCGAAUACUAAUGCCCCCAGUUGUCCCUAUUAAUCAUUAAGUCAAUUCCCAAAAACCAACAAAAUAGGAACGACCUCCUAUUCCAUUAUUCCAUGCACGAAUAUUCAAGCUUCUAGCCUGCUUUGAGCACUCUAAUUUUUUCAAAGUAAACCUGACGGCGACUAAAGACACUCAAUGAAGAGGACCUUCAACCCUCCGUCAAAAACACGGAUAAAUGGGGCAGUAGCGUCAAAUAACGAACCGCCCCCUACCCGCCGAGAUCCAACUACGAGCUUUUUAACCGCAACAACUUUAAUAUACGCUAUUGGAGCUGGAAU